AUUGAACGCUGGCGGCAUGCCUUACACAUGCAAGUCGAACGGCAGCACGGGGCAACCUGGUGGCGAGUGGCGAACGGGUGAGUAAUGCAUCGGAACGUGCCAUUGAGUGGGGGAUAACGUAGCGAAAGUUGCGCUAAUACCGCAUAUUCUGUGAGCAGGAAAGCAGGGGACCGCAAGGCCUUGCGCUCUUUGAGCGGCCGAUGUCAGAUUAGCUAGUUGGUGAGGUAAAGGCUUACUAAGGCGACGAUCUGUAGCGGGUCUGAGAGGAUGAUCCGCACACUGGAACUGAGACACGGUCCAGACUCCUACGGGAGGCAGCAGUGGGGAAUUUUGGACAAUGGG
rnacentral:rRNA from 1 species